rnacentral:rRNA from 1 species
AACGAACGCUGGCGGCGUGGAUAAGACAUGCAAGUCGAACGGGAACUUCAGCUGUAGCAAUACAGUUGAAGUUUUUAGUGGCGAACGGGUGCGUAACACGUGGGCAAUCUGCCUUAAAGUGGGGGAUAGCUCGGCGAAAGCCGAAUUAAUACCGCAUAUGGUGAGGGACGACAUCUUCCUGAAUCCAAAGCCGGGGCAACCUGGCGCUUUUUGAGGAGCCCGCGGCCUAUCAGCUAGUUGGUGAGGUAACGGCUCACCAAGGCUAUGACGGGUAGCUGGUCUGAGAGGACGACCAGUCACACUGGAACUGAGACACGGUCCAGACACCUACGGGU